rnacentral:rRNA from 1 species
CCUACGUGCGGCUGCAGUGGGGAAUAUUGGGCAAUGGGCGCAAGCCUGACCCAGCAACGCCGCGUGAAGGAAGAAGGCUUUCGGGUUGUAAACUUCUUUUCUCAGGGACGAAGCAAGUGACGGUACCUGAGGAAUAAGCAACGGCUAACUACGUGCCAGCAGCCGCGGGAAUACGUAGGUGGCAAGCGUUAUCCGGAUUUACUGGGGGUAAAGGGCGUGUAGGCGGUAAAGCAAGUCAGAUGUGAAAACCAUGGGCUCAACCUGUGGCCUGCAUUUGAAACUGUUUUUCUUGAGUACUGGAGAGGCAGACGGAAUUCCUAGUGUAGCGGUGAAAUGCGUAGAUAUUAGGAGGAACACCAGUGGCGAAGGCGGUCUGCUGGACAGCAACUGACGCUGAGGCGCGAAAGCGUGGGGAGCAAACAGGAUUAGAUACCCCGGUAGUC